UACAGAGGUCUCAAGCGUUGUUCGGAUUCAUUGGGCGUAAAGGGCGCGUAGGCGGCGCCACAAGUCACUUGUGAAAACUCUGGGCUCAACUCAGAGCCUGCAAGCGAAACUGUGGUGCUGGAGUAUGGGAGAGGUGCGUGGAAUUCCCGGUGUAGCGGUGAAAUGCGUAGAUAUCAGGAGGAACACCGAUGGCGAAGGCAGGUCUCUGGGCCAUAACUGACGCUGAGAAGCGAAAGCAUGGGGAGCGAACAGG
rnacentral:rRNA from 1 species